AUUGAACGCUGGCGGCAGGCCUAACACAUGCAAGUCGAGCGGAGCGGCGGACGGGUGAGUAAUGCCUAGGAAUCUGCCUGGUAGUGGGGGAUAACGUCCGGAAACGGGCGCUAAUACCGCAUACUAUCAGAUGAGCCUAGGUCGGAUUAGCUAGUUGGUGGGGUAAAGGCCUACCAAGGCGACGAUCCGUAACUGGUCUGAGAGGAUGAUCAGUCACACUGGAACUGAGACACGGUCCAGACUCCCACGGGAGGCAGCCGUGGGGAAUAUUGGACAAUGGGCGAAAGCCUGAUCCAGCCAUGCCGCGGGUGUGAAGAAGGUCUUCGGAUUGUAAAGCACUUUAAGGUGGGAGGCGUUACCCGCAGAAGAAGCACCGGCUAACUCCGUGCCAGCAGCCGCGGUAAUAC
rnacentral:rRNA from 1 species